ACGGGCGUAGCUCAAUUGGCAGAGCAGCGGAUUCCAAAUCCGCAGGUUGGGGGUUCGAUUCCUCCCGCCCGUG
rnacentral:tRNA from 1 species